rnacentral:snRNA from 1 species
GCAUGUGACAGUCACUUCACUGUGACAUCUGUCAACCCAUGAAUCACCAGCAUCAAUUCAGCUGAUUUGGUUGGCUAGGUGUGUAUCCACUUCCUCCCUCUCUGCUACUGCUGAGGCUGCUUCCUCUAGAAUAAAGGAGGACCAGUCUUUGCUCAAGAGUAUAUGAGUAACUUGGUCCCUUGCUAGAACCUCCAAAGAAUCAUUCAAGGUCCAUUUUUAAUUUUUAUUUAUGUGUGUCUGUGUAAAUAGGACACACAUUUUCAAUUGCAGACAAAGAUCAGUAGUUACAGUCACAGGUGGUUGUAAACUGU